GUGAGGAAUAUUGCGCAAUGGAGGCAACUCUGACGCAGCCAUGCCGCGUGCAGGAAGAAGGCGCUACGCGUUGUAAACUGCUUUUAACCGGGAAGAAACCCCAGGACGUGUCCUGGGUUGACGGUACCGGAGGAAUAAGCACCGGCUAACUUCGUGCCAGCAGCCGCGGUAAUACGAAGGGUGCAAGCGUUAUCCGGAUUCAUUGGGUUUAAAGGGUGCGUAGGCGGAGCGUUAAGUCAGUGGUGAAAUCCUGCAGCUUAACUGUAGACUUGCCAUUGAUACUGGCGAUCUUGAGUGCGCUUGCAGUGGGCGGAAUGUGCCGUGUAACGGUGAAAUACUUAGAUAUGGCACAGAACACCAAUUGAGAAGGCAGCUCACUAAGGCGAUACUGACGCUGAGGCACGAAAGCGUGGGGAUCGAACAGGAUUAGAUACCCGAGUAGUCC
rnacentral:rRNA from 1 species